rnacentral:rRNA from 1 species
UUUGAAACGGGAAGAACCUUACCAGGUCUUGACAUCCUCUGACAACCCUAGAGAUAGGGCUUUCCCUUCGGGGACAGAGUGACAGGUGGCUGCAUGGUUGUCGUCAGCUCGUGUCGUGAGAUGUUGGGUUAAGUCCCGCAACGAGCGCAACCCUUGAUCUUAGUUGCCAGCAUUUAGUUGGGCACUCUAAGGUGACUGCCGGUGACAAACCGGAGGAAGGUGGGGAUGACGUCAAAUCAUCAUGCCCCUUAUGACCUGGGCUACACACGUGCUACAAUGGAUAGUACAAAGGGUUGCAAGACCGCGAGGUGGAGCUAAUCCCAUAAAACUAUUCUCAGUUCGGAUUGUAGGCUGCAACUCGCCUACAUGAAGCCGGAAUCACGUAGUAAUCGCGGAUCAGCAUGCCGCGGUGGAUACGUUUCCCGGGUCUUGUACACACGCACAAA